CCUACGGGUGGCAGCAGUGGGGACUAUUGGACGAUGGGGGGAACCCUGAUCCAGCGACGCCGCGUGAGUGAAGCAGUAUUUCGGUAUGUAAAGCUCUAUCAGCAGGGAAGAAAGGAAUGACGGUACCUGACUAAGAAGCCCCGGCUAACUGCGUGCCAGCAGCCGCGGUAAUACGUAGGGGGCAAGCGUUAUCCGGAUUUACUGGGUGUAAAGGGAGCGUAGACGGUUACGCAAGUCUGGAGUGAAAGGCGGGGGCCCAACCCCCGGACUGCUUUGGAAACUGUAUAACGGGAGUGCAGGAGAGGUAAGGGGAAUUCCUAGUGUAGCGGUGAAAUGCGUAGAUAUUAGGAGGAACACCAGUGGCGAAGGCGGCUUACUGGACUGUAACUGACGUUGAGGCUCGAAAGCGUGGGGAGCAAACAGGAUUAGAUACCUCAGUAGUC
rnacentral:rRNA from 1 species